AGAGUUUGAUCCUGGCUCAGAUUGAACGCUGGCGGCAUGCCUAACACAUGCAAGUCGAACGUGAAAGGGGGGCAACCCCCGAGUAGAGUGGCGGACGGGGGAGGAAUCUACCCUAGAGUGGGGGAUAACCCGGGGAAACCCGGGCUAAUACCGCAUAUUCUCUAAGGAGUAAAGGUGACCAAGUGCUUUCGGGUAUUUGGUUAUCGCUUUAGGAUGAGCCUAUGUCGGAUUAGCUAGUUGGUAGGGUAAUGGCCUACCAAGGCAACGAUCCGUAGCUGGUCUGAGAGGACGACCAGCCACACUGGGACUGAGAUACGGCCCAGACUCCUACGGGAGGCAGCAGUGGGGAAUAUUGGACAAUGGGCGAAAGCCUGAUCCAGCAAUGCCGCGUGCAGGAAGAAGGCCUUCGGGCUGUAAACUGCUUUUGUCAGGGAAGAAAUCUUCGUGGCUAAUACCCCGGGAGGAUGACGGUACCUGAAGAAUAAGCACCGGCUAACUACGUGCCAGCAGCCGCGGUAAUACGUAGGGUGCGAGCGUUAAUCGGAAUUACUGGGCGUAAAGCGUGCGCAGGCGGUGAUGUAAGACAGAUGUGAAGUCCCCGGGCUCAACCUGGGACCUGCAUUUGUGACUGCAUCGCUAGAGUACGGUAGAGGGGGAUGGAAUUCCGCGUGUAGCAGUGAAAUGCGUAGAUAUGCGGAGGAACACCGAUGGCGAAGGCAAUCCCCUGGGCCUGCACUGACGCUCAUGCACGAAAGCGUGGGGAGCAAACAGGAUUAGAUACCCUGGUAGUCCACGCCCUAAACGAUGUCAACUGGUUGUUGGGUCUAAACCGACUCAGUAACGAAGCUAACGCGUUAAGUGAUCCGCCUGGGGAGUACGGCCGCAAGGUUAAAACUCAAAGGAAUUGACGGGGACCCGCACAAGCGGUGGAUGAUGUGGUUUAAUUCGAUGCAACGCGAAAAACCUUACCCACCUUUGACAUGUACGGAAGAUCGCAGAGACGCGAUUGUGCUCGAAAGAGAACCGUAACACAGGUGCUGCAUGGCUGUCGUCAGCUCGUGUCGUGAGAUGUUGGGUUAAGUCCCGCAACGAGCGCAACCCUUGCCAUUAGUUGCUACAUUCAGUUGGGCACUCUAAUGGGACUGCCGGUGACAAACCGGAGGAAGGUGGGGAUGACGUCAAGUCCUCAUGGCCCUUAUAGGUGGGGCUACACACGUCAUACAAUGGCUGGUACAAAGGGUUGCCAACCCGCGAGGGGGAGCUAAUCCCAUAAAGCCAGUCGUAGUCCGGAUCGUAGUCUGCAACUCGACUACGUGAAGUCGGAAUCGCUAGUAAUCGUGGAUCAGAAUGUCACGGUGAGUACGUUCCCGGGUCUUGUACACACCGCACGCCACACCAUGGGAGUGGGUUUCACCAGAAGCAGGUAGCCUAACCGCAAGGAGGGCGCCUACCACGGUGAGAUUCAUGACUGGGGUGAAGUCGUAACAAGGUAACC
rnacentral:rRNA from 1 species